rnacentral:lncRNA from 1 species
GAAUGGCCUUCUCUCCUACUUCAUCACCCGGAUACAGCCCAUCAUCACCAGGCUACAGUCCGUCAUCUCCUGGAUACAGUCCCACGUCACCUGGAUACAGCCCAACUUCGCCUGGAUACAGUCCCACCUCGCCUGGAUAUAGCCCUACCUCACCAACUUAUAGUCCAAGUUCUCCUGGUUAUAGUCCAACCAGUCCUGCCUAUUCUCCUACCAGUCCAUCGUACUCACCUACUUCACCAAGCUAUAGCCCAACCUCCCCAAGUUACAGCCCAACAUCCCCAAGCUACAGCCCGACCUCUCCAAGUUACAGCCCCACUUCUCCCAGUUACAGUCCAACUUCACCAAGCUAUAGCCCCACCUCACCGGCAUAUAGCCCCACCUCACCUGCAUAUAGCCCCACCUCACCUGCAUACAGCCCCACUUCACCAUCGUACAGCCCAACCUCUCCUUCCUACAGCCCAACAUCACCUUCGUACAGCCCUACCUCACCGUCAUACAGCCCCACUUCUCCAUCGUACAGCCCCACUUCACCAGCCUAUAGCCCCACUUCUCCUGGUUAUAGUCCAACUUCACCAAGUUAUAGCCCAACUUCACCAACCUAUAGUCCUACAUCCCCAAGCUACAAUCCUCAGUCUGCCAAAUACAGUCCGUCGCUGGCCUACUCACCAAGUAGUCCAAGAUUAUCUCCUGCCAGUCCGUACAGCCCUACAUCUCCAAAUUACAGGUAAGCCAUAGUGCGAUAUGUGGUCAAGUCUAAUGUUUGUGUUAAAAGCUGUAUCCAAUUUAUUAGGUCUUGUUUUUGAUAGAAUUCUAUAUACUGAAAUAUCUGUUGAACCUAAGACUUGCUGUAGCUGGGGAUUGGACUUGGAUGGGUUUAAAUUAUUAAUGAUUUUAUCUCUGUUGUUUUUAACAUUAUUAUAUCUGGAUGAUUAUGUUGAUGUAUCUUGUAAGCAACUUUUCUUUUUACGCAGUCCAACAUCAUCUUCGUAUUCACCGACAUCUCCCUCUAUGAUACUGGACCAAUGAUGAGAUGUUCAUUUGAAGAAACGGUUGACAUUCUUCUUGAUGCUGCAGUCUUUGCAGAAUCAGAUUAUUUGAGGGGGGUCACUGAGAAUAUAAUGUUAGGUCAGCUUGCGCCUAUUGGGACAGGAGACUGUUCAUUGUAUCUCAAUGAUGAGAUGCUGAAAAAUGCCAUCGAACUUCAGCUUCCUAGUUAUAUGGAAGGUCUGGAGUUUGGCAUGACACCUGCUCGUUCUCCGGUGUCUGGGACUCCUUAUCAUGAUGGCAUGAUGUCUCCAGGUUACUUGUUUAGCCCAAAUCUCCGUCUGUCCCCGGUCACGGAUGCCCAGUUUUCUCCUUAUGUUGGUGGAAUGGCCUUCUCUCCUACUUCAUCACCCGGAUACAGCCCAUCAUCACCAGGCUACAGUCCGUCAUCUCCUGGAUACAGUCCCACGUCACCUGGAUACAGCCCAACUUCGCCUGGAUACAGUCCCACCUCGCCUGGAUAUAGCCCUACCUCACCAACUUAUAGUCCAAGUUCUCCUGGUUAUAGUCCAACCAGUCCUGCCUAUUCUCCUACCAGUCCAUCGUACUCACCUACUUCACCAAGCUAUAGCCCAACCUCCCCAAGUUACAGCCCAACAUCCCCAAGCUACAGCCCGACCUCUCCAAGUUACAGCCCCACUUCUCCCAGUUACAGUCCAACUUCACCAAGCUAUAGCCCCACCUCACCGGCAUAUAGCCCCACCUCACCUGCAUAUAGCCCCACCUCACCUGCAUACAGCCCCACUUCACCAUCGUACAGCCCAACCUCUCCUUCCUACAGCCCAACAUCACCUUCGUACAGCCCUACCUCACCGUCAUACAGCCCCACUUCUCCAUCGUACAGCCCCACUUCACCAGCCUAUAGCCCCACUUCUCCUGGUUAUAGUCCAACUUCACCAAGUUAUAGCCCAACUUCACCAACCUAUAGUCCUACAUCCCCAAGCUACAAUCCUCAGUCUGCCAAAUACAGUCCGUCGCUGGCCUACUCACCAAGUAGUCCAAGAUUAUCUCCUGCCAGUCCGUACAGCCCUACAUCUCCAAAUUACAGGUAAGCCAUAGUGCGAUAUGUGGUCAAGUCUAAUGUUUGUGUUAAAAGCUGUAUCCAAUUUAUUAGGUCUUGUUUUUGAUAGAAUUCUAUAUACUGAAAUAUCUGUUGAACCUAAGACUUGCUGUAGCUGGGGAUUGGACUUGGAUGGGUUUAAAUUAUUAAUGAUUUUAUCUCUGUUGUUUUUAACAUUAUUAUAUCUGGAUGAUUAUGUU